GACAGAGGGUGCAAACGUUGUUCGGAAUUACUGGGCGUAAAGCGUGCGUAGGCGGUGAAGUAAGUCGGAUGUGAAAGCCCAGGGCUCAACCUUGGAAGUGCAUUCGAAACUGCUUCGCUUGAGUACUGGAGAGGCUGGUGGAAUUCUCGGUGUAGAGGUGAAAUUCGUAGAUAUCGAGAGGAACAUCUGUGGCGAAGGCGGCCAGCUGGACAGAUACUGACGCUGAGGCACGAAAGUGUGGGGAGCAAAC
rnacentral:rRNA from 1 species